GAUAAACGCUGGCGGCGCACAUAAGACAUGCAAGUUGAACGGACUUAAUCGAAAUAUUUAUCUUUUGAAGCGGUUAGUGGCGGACUGGUGAGUAACGCGUAAGGAACCUGCCUAUUAGAGGGGAAUAACAGUGAGAAAUCAUUGCUAAUACCGCAUAUGCCAUAGAUAUCACAUGAUAACAGUGGGAAAGGAGCAAUCCGCUAAUAGAUGGCCUUGCGUCUGAUUAGAUAGUUGGUGGGGUAACGGCCUACCAAGUCGACGAUCAGUAGCCGGACUGAGAGGUUGAACGGCCACAUUGGGACUGAGAUACGGCCCAGACUCCUACGGGAGGCAGCAGUCGGGAAUAGUGCGCAAUGGAGGAAACUCUGACGCAGUGACGCCGCGUAUAGGAAGAAGGUUUUCGGAUUGUAAACUAUUGUCGUUAGGGAAGAGAAAGGACAGUACCUAAGGAGGAAGCUCCGGCUAACUACGUG
rnacentral:rRNA from 1 species